GGGAUGAUGGCUCAGUAGUAGAGUGCUUGCCUUGCAUGCAUGAGGCCCUGGGUUCGAUUCCCCAGCCACCACA
rnacentral:tRNA from 1 species